rnacentral:rRNA from 1 species
CCUACGGGAGGCAGCAGUAGGGAAUUUUCCGCAAUGGGCGAAAGCCUGACGGAGCAACGCCGCGUGCAGGAGGAAGGCCUUCGGGUUGUAAACUGCUUUUAUCUGUGACGAUUUUGACGGUAGCAGAAGAAUAAGGAUCGGCUAAUUCCGUGCCAGCAGCCGCGGUAAU